GCGGUGCGGCCUGCUAUACAUGCAAGUCGAGCGAACUGAUUAGAAGCUUGCUUCUAUGACGUUAGCGGCGGACGGGUGAGAAACACGUGGGCAACCUGCCUGUAAGACUGGGAUAACUUCGGGAAACCGAAGCUAAUACCGGAUAGGAUCUUCUCCUUCAUGGGAGAUGAUUGAAAGAUGGUUUCGGCUAUCACUUACAGAUGGGCCCGCGGUGCAUUAGCUAGUUGGUGAGGUAACGGCUCACCAAGGCAACGAUGCAUAGCCGACCUGAGAGGGUGAUCGGCCACACUGGGACUGAAACACGGCCCAAACUCCUACGGGAGGCAGCAGUAGGGAAUCUUCCGCAAUGGACAAAAGUCUGACGGAGCAACGCCGCGUGAGUGAUGAAGGCUUUCGGGUCGUAAAACUCUGUUGUUAGGGAAGAACAAGUACAAGAGUAACUGCUUGUACCUUGACGGUACCUAACCAGAAAGCCACGGCUAACUACGUGCCACCCGCCGCGGUAAUACGUAGGUGGCAAGCGUUAUCCGGAAUUAUUGGGCGUAAAGCGCGCGCAGGCGGUUUCUUAAGUCUGAUGUGAAAGCCCACGGCUCAACCGUGGAGGGUCAUUGGAAACUGGGGAACUUGAGUGCAGAAAAGAAAAGCGGAAUUCCACGUGUAGCGGUGAAAUGCGUAGAGAUGUGGAGGAACACCAGUGGCGAAGGCGGCUUUUUGGUUCUGUAACUGACGCUGAGGCGCGAAAGCGUGGGGAGCAAACAGGAUUAGAUACCCUGGUAGUCCACGCCGUAAACGAUGAGUGCUAAGUGUUAGAGGGUUUCCGCCCUUUAGUGCUGCAGCUAACGCAUUAAGCACUCCGCCUGGGGAGUACGUCGCAGACUGAAACUCAAGGGAAUUGACGGGGCCGCACAGCGGUUGAAGCAUGUGCAUUUAUUUCGAAAGCCAACGCGCCGGAG
rnacentral:rRNA from 2 species